GGUGAAUAUGGCAUUUGUUACAACUCACAAAUAAUCAUGACUUGGUAUUAGCACUAAUUCCUUGUAGGGUCACUGAAGCAUGAAGUAACAAUAUUGGAACUUAGCUUCAGUGUCAACUUGAUUUUUUGAGAUGAUGCCUAUUCAUUAAUGUGAAAAUAUUGUAUGUUGGCAUAUGUUAUAUUUAAUAUAAAUAAUGAUGUUUCCAUGUCAGAUACGGAGAAUGCUUCUGCAUAUAGUUG
rnacentral:misc_RNA from 1 species